AACAAAACUGUAAACAACAGCAGGAAUGUAAACACUGAGUUUGACUUUGAUGCUAGCAGUGACAGCUCUAGAGUCUUAACAGCUGCUGAGAGGAAGCACCUACAUUAACGCUGCUUUGUGCACAUAGGAGACAGUAGACUGUCACUCCAGUUCAACAACAGCUUUGUCCUAGUCCAAGUACAGAUUGUGGUAAAUCCCAAUAAAAUGAGACAAACAAUAAAAAUGUUCUAGGGUUAUGAAUACUUCUGCAACGCAGAUGAAUAAUGCAUCUGAGUUUGCAGAGAUGUUUUCUUAACUAGUCCUAAUAUUACACAUUAUGUUGUGCAAUGAGUGGAAGCUGAAGCAUUUCACGUGCAACUCUACGUUUGACCGUCGGGUUGGUUAGUUUUGGGUGACAAGUGUGAGGCAAACACUUUUUUUUUUGUUCCAUCAUUGUUCAGAAGAAAACACCAAACACCAGACAGAUGAAGUUCCUGUUUUGCUUAAACAGGGAAGUUAGUUCGGCUCAGUGCUGCAGUUUUUCUUUUUCAUUUUAUUUUUCCUCCUCUCAGAAGUAUUUGCAUCAAGGCCAGGAGAUUAAACGUGUGGGUUGGGAACUGGAGAGAGCGCGUUGUCUCGCUCGGGGCCCCCCCGGUGCCAGAGUUCUCGCUUUCAUCGCGCGGGGUGAGAGAUUUCUCCUGGACGUUUUUCGGGGCUGUGCAGCUACAGGCUUCAUGUUCAGUGGAUCUUUACUGGUGUGCUGCAUCCUGCUGCAGAGGAACCUUGCGACCACAGAGGGGCAUCAUGGGACCAACCGCCACGUCUUCUAUGCCGUCCAGAUGAGAGGAGGCGCCACAGCCGUCCGAGCUCUGGCCGAGCAGCACGGGCUGGAGUUCAUACAGCGGAUUGGCAGCCUGGAGGGCCUGUACACCCUGAGGGACAGCAGGGGGCGCUCUGAUAGAGUCACCUUUGAGGGGAGACUUCUGUCUGCAGCAGGGGUCCUCUGGGUAGAGAGGCAGCAAUGUCAUUACAGAGACAAGCGGGUUCCCCUGACGGGACGAGACUACGGUCGGACGAAAGGUUCCCAGAGGAAACGGCCUCCAGCUGACAGCCCGUCUGAGGAGAGGAUGGACGACAAGUCGCUCACCUUCAACGACCCGCUCUGGCCCAUGCAGUGGGAGCUGUUCGCACAGGGUGAAUACAACUCUAGUGGGUUUGACCUGAAUGUGAUGCCAGUUUGGAGGAACAACAUAACCGGCAGCGGCGUGGUGGUCAGCAUCAUCGAUGACGGUGUGGAUCACACAAACAAGGACCUGAGGAAAAACUUUGAGGCCCUCGCCAGCUUUGACCUGCGGGCCUCGCACGGUCUGUCUCAUGAUCCCAUGCCUGUCAGAGAUGAGGAGAACAGUCACGGCACGCGCUGUGCCGGCGAAGUUGCUAUGGAGGCCAACAACUCCUACUGCGGUGUGGGCAUCGCCUUCAAUGCCAGGAUAGGAGGUAUCCGUCUGCUGGACGGCGUCGUCACGGACGCCAUGGAGGCCUCGGCUCUGACCUACAACAUGCACUUCAUCGACAUCUACGUCUGCAGCUGGGGCCCGCGGGACACCGGGGCUGAGAUGGACGGACCGCACCGCCUGACGGAGCGAGCCCUCCGGCUAGGAACUCAGAAGGGCCGACGUGGGAAGGGCAGCAUCUUUGUGUGGGCGGCGGGUAAUGGUGGAACGCAGCGUGACCACUGCGGUGCAGAUGGGUACGUUAACUCCAUCUACACCAUCGCCAUCGGAGCCGUCGUCCGGACCGGGAAGCCCGCCUACUUCGGUGAACCCUGCCCUGGAGUGAUGGCCGUCACCCUGACAGGUUCCAACAUGGGAGACUCGCUACCUUUGGUGACUGUGACCAACACUGGAGAUGGGUGUGUCACCCGCUUCCCAGGUACCUCCAGUGCCGCUCCGAUUGCUGCAGGGAUUCUGGCUCUUGCUUUGGAAGUGAAUCCGUUGAUGACGUGGAGGGAUGUUCAGCAUCUGAUCGCCAUGACGGCGAAGAUCCCCGAUCCCGAAGAGCCGGGCUGGACCAUCAAUGCAGCAGGAUACCAUGUUCACCACAGGUAUGGGUUUGGCGUGUUGGACGCUGGGCUGAUGGUGCAGCACGCUGCGCUGUUCCAGGGAGCUACUCCACAGAGGAAAUGCAAGCAAGAGGUCGCAUUUAAUCCAGCCAGAUCCUUCUCUGCUGGAGGCCAAGUGAGCAUCAGCAUCGAAUCCGAUGCCUGCCGAGGGAGAGUUAAUGAAGUCAACACUUUGGAGCAUGUGCAGGUGAGAGUGAGUAUUUCGGCGCCGUGUCGCGGCGACCUCUCCAUAAGUCUGGAGUCUCCGAGCGGCACAGUGUCUCUGCUGCUGGACACCCGGCCCAACGACGCCUCGGCUGCUGGCCUGAAGAACUGGACCCUGAUGACGUUGCACUGUUGGGGCGAGCAGCCGCGAGGCCUGUGGACCCUGAAGGUGGCCGACCAUAAAGGCAGCGUGUGGAGCUGCAGGAGGCAGAGCGAGGAGGAGGCUGCCGGAGCUCUGCUCAGCGCCGCACUCAUCCUGUACGGCACCCACCGCCCACACAAGGCCACGCUCGAGGGGCCCCUGCAGAGCGUCGUGUCUAUGGGGGGCCGUCACCCGGUCCCUCACGGUGGGCUCUACCGGAGGGACCGCUCCCCUCCUCUGGACGUGCUUCAGUGGGUCUUCCACAUGGAGAGGGACAGGAAAGUACGAGCUAGCGACAUCACUUUGCCAAGCAAACACAAGGUACAGUACUGUACACAGAGGUAAAGCAUCUCUCACACACCAUUCACACACACACCACCCACACCCACGCUGUGAUUUACUGUUCCAAUAAAUCACUGGAGCCGCCUAAUUUCCUAUGGAUUUCAAUUUCCCCCUGGAUAUAUCUGCAUUGAUCAACUUCAGGUGUGAGGAUGUGCCAGGCGUCGCUCACGGUGACACUGAAGAAUGGCUCUCAGAUCUCUGCCAUACGGCUCAACGUGUUGGGGUGCGUGUGUGUGUGUGUGUGUGUGUGUGUUAUAACUGUAGGACUUGUGCGCAUGCAGCGUUUCUGUUCAGCUCCGUCGUCACCGGCGAGGCGUUCAGGAGACAAAUCCUUGACAUCUGAAAGUGUCAGAGAUAGAGGAUCAGACGUAUCGAGACUCCAGAUACUGUUACUGCGAUCAGAUCGUCGUCUGUUCAGAUCACGAGGAACAAUUAAACAUCCAGAUCAGACCAGCGUAACCAGCAAGUUUCAAUGGAUGCAAUCCAGACGCCCAUCUUUUAUCACCUUAUUAAACCAAUUGUAGCGCUGAUAAAAGUUUGCCUGUAGAUGAACGAUGUGUGUGUGUGUGUGUGUUUCUGGCUGACAUGUCCUUGCAGAGGUGCGUGCUCCUCUGGGCCUGUAGAUGAGUUUUGAGCCGGUGUUAGGAGGCGGCGACGAGGCCUGACAACGUCUUUACCCCGAGUUUCUCCCCUGGAGGCAGAUCUGAAUGGAUUGUAGGAGCAAGGAGGAGAAAUAAAUUGGAGAAAAGGAUAAAUCAAUGCUUGGCAGAGAGGCAAACAGACCUUCCAACCCCCCCAGUCCACACAUACGCACACACACACACACACACACACACACGCACAGGUUCCACAGCGUGGCUUUUUUUUUUCUUCCUUGGGCUGUUUUGGAUUGGUAUGCAGAGCUGAAGAGAGAGACACUCAGAAAAAGACUUGGCCUACAAAUGAUGUCCUUUGUUUGAUCCAUUACGUUGGAGGGGGUGGGGAGUUGUUGGUGGACUGGUGUGUGUUGGGGUGUGUGUGUGUGUGUGUGUGUGUGUGUGUGUGUGUGUGUUUGGGGGUUCGGGGGGAGGCUUCUUGUUUAAAGAGCCCCGCAGAAAAGAAAAAAAAAAGAAGAAGCUUGUGCCACGGGGAGCAGCCAGCAGGUUAUUUCUCCCAACAAGGAUUCAGGCUAUAGAAGCACCAGAUGCACGAGAUGGAAAAUUCUUCAAAAGCUUGUCUUGAUGAAAAGACAAAAAAAAAAAAAAAAAAAAAAAGGAAAUGGCUUGUGCCAGGUUUCUCUUGCACUGGGACAGACUGGAAUAACAGUGUGCAUUAUGCCUGGCGUUGCUGCCUGCCAAACCACACGAAUCAAAGGCCUCAUUGUGUGGAUUACCUCGUUAAUCUGCUGAUGCCAUUGAGCAGUAUUGCAGGUGUUAAUGUGCCAGUUUUUUUUCUUCCUCUCCUCACUAUCUCUCUCUCUCUCUCUCUCUCUUCUUUUAUUGGGGAGGUGUAGCGUCAGGUUUGUAAUCUGCUUUAAAUGCUUUCUGGGGAACGACACAGUGAAACUCUGCCAAGAGAUUGCGAGGAGCUCUCUGUUAAAGGGGAUGGAAAGGCGAGUGGUAGGGUGUGUGUGCAGGGGAGGUGGUGUGGGGGGGGGUACGCGGUGCCGAAGCCUGUGGGGACUAUAGCUGGUGAGCUGCAUGGCCCACACCACUUGUUGAAAUAUAGGGCUGCAUGAAUAAUGAAAGAGGGAGAGGGGAAGCGAUAUUGCUAAAGCAGUCCCACAAUGACAUCCAUCAUAGUAAUGCCCCGUCGCUCUGCUUCUUUUGUCUCAUCCGGCGCACUAACUCCAAGUUGCGUCUCUUUGGAGGAGCGAGCGUGCUCCGUGUCUGAUAGAUAGAUAGAUAGAUAGAUAGAUAGAUAGAUAGAUAGAUAGAUAGAUAGAUAGAUAGAUAGAUAGAUAGAUAGAUAGAUAGAUAGAUGCACAAGGAAAAAAAGGAGUGAAAAGUGGAGAGAAAUGUGCUUCUUUUCUGCUCCCCGGGGUGGUCUCUUCAUCCAGGGGCCUCAAAGAGCGACAGAAUACACCUCCCUGCUACAAUGGAAGGGGGCGGGGGGUGGAGGGGCUGUUGCUAUUUGAGUGUGUGUGUGUGUGUGUGUGUGUAGUGGGGGUGCAGCUUUAAGCAGGCCUUUGAGUGGCCUAAUUGCAUUGGAAUACAGCAGCCUGAGAGCUGGUUCAGAUCACGGCGGGCUGCUGGAGGGGUGAGCGCCCGCACCUCGACAGCCACACUCAGCAAAAGAGCCCCGGCACAAAGCGCACAAUUAAUGCUCUCCCUCUCGUUAACUCUCUCCCCACUUUUUGUCCUCUCCUACUUUUUUUUUUUUUUUUUUUAUCAGCUCAUCCCCAUCCCCCUCCUCCUCCUCCUCCAUCUCCCUCCGUCCUGACCGAACAGCUCAGUAUGUCGUC